AAAACGACUCUCGGCAACGGAUAUCUCGGCUCUCGCAUCGAUGAAGAACGUAGCGAAAUGCGAUACUUGGUGUGAAUUGCAGAAUCCCGUGAACCAUCGAGUCUUUGAACGCAAGUUGCGCCCAAAGCCUUCUGGUUGAGGGCACGUCUGCCUGGGU
rnacentral:rRNA from 7 species